AUGGAGAGACUUGUUAAUGUUCAUUACAUUGACAAGGAGGCAUUCUUGAGUAACAAUGCCGACACGGGUCAGGAACCAUUGGUUUUUGAUACAAUCCCUAGCUAUGAGGAUGUUGUUGCAAAAGUGAGACAAGUCUUGAAGUGGAUGGACACCAAUGUUGAUGUUAAGUUAAUAGGAAGGUAUGAUGUUGGAGUUGGAGCCAAAUCUCGCUUGAAAAGUAUGCCUAUCACCUCGGAUUUGCAUUGGGAUGUAUACAAGGAAAAAGUAUCCCAAUCAGAAGACAAGUCACUUGAAUUGUUUGCCACCAAGGUUGAAUCUCCUCGGUUUACCUUUGAUUUGAACCGGCAUGUCUCUUCCCCAAUGGAUGACAUGAGCGUUGAGUUGUAUGCCCCCAAUGCUUCUAGCCAACCACCAACUAGCCAA
rnacentral:rRNA from 1 species